UACGUAGGGGGCGAGCGUUAUCCGGAAUUAUUGGGCGUAAAGCGCGCGCAGGCGGCCGAUUAAGUCAGGUGUGAAAGGCUGCGGCUCAACCGCAGAGCGGCACCUGAAACUGGUCGGCUUGAGUGCAGGAGAGGGGAGCGGAAUUCCCGGUGUAGCGGUGGAAUGCGUAGAGAUCGGGAGGAACACCAGUGGCGAAGGCGGCUCUCUGGCCUGUAACUGACGCUGAGGCGCGAAAGCGUGGGGAGCAAACAGGAUUAGAAACCCUCGUAGUCC
rnacentral:rRNA from 1 species